CUUUCUUAAUCUAAGUUUUUAUUGUGAGGGUAGCCCGGCACCUCUCCUCUCCCGGCGGCCCUCCUUCACCGCAGUCUCCUCUACUCGGCCAUGUCCGCCCAAGUCUCCUCCCCCUUGUUGCACCUAUCAGCGGCGACCGCGAUGCCCGUCGACCACCAACAGCCGCCCAAGUUAUCUAUGGGUUCUCUAAGGGACUGGCCUGGGUCCUCUGCUUUCGGCCGGUGUCGGUGCAAGCUGAAACUCAUUCGUGGGGAGCGCUGGCUAGCGGUGACAGUGGCAGGGAGGAGCAGAUCAAGGCCUCCCAAUAGGCGCAGGAUCAAGUCAUGAAACUUGCAUCAUCUUUACAUCACCAUGUAGUUGGGUGUAACGUGAGUUCUGCUCUUAUUCUACAUUGUGAGAGGAGCGACGCUGCCGGUGCGUGGCGACGAGAGGCUCCUGGUGCUCGACAAGGUGCCUGAGCAGGACACCUUGAUUAAUACAUCAUCGUUCCCCAUGCCAUAUGCCGGUGGAUGGAAACAGAGGUGUUCAAGCGAGUCGGCGACAUGUCUGCCGUGCCAGCACAGCUCAGCUCCGAAGAUAUAAUAGGCCCAGCAAAUAACAUCGCAUAAUUUAGGCAAGCGAAAUACAGCUGUUAAAUGCCUCCAUGUUGUAUUGCACACCCAUUUCAUAAUACUUUUUGACAUAAGUAUAAACAUCUGCAAGCCUACUGUCUUCUGCGUGUUAAAUUGAAUAAGAUUAUGAUGUUAUAGUGUUGCUGCUUAUGCGUUGUGCAGCAGAUGUUUCCUUUGUCCCAUCAAGGACGCAGAUCAUACAUUAGCAUGCUCAAGUUGAAAUGACUUGACAUAGGCAAGAAACUUCCACACAUUUUCUCUUCCAUUCACACUUAUUGGGGUUUCUUAUAGGUUUUAAAUCUUGAAGCUUACAUGGUCACUAAUAUGGGCAUGUUCUGUUAAAUCACUAACCUUGAUUUCAGUCUUUAGGCAUUAUGACGAAACUGCAACAUUGAAGAUUGUGAAAGGUCAUUUUUUUUCAUUUCCUUUGACGUAUAUUUAAGCCUUUUUCCCCCUCUUCUGUUUCAUGUUCCAUUGAUUCAAAUAUGUUUUAUUGCCUGGUGAAUAUUUAUUCUGUUUUAGUGGCUGACUAAUUGGCCCUUUGCUGAUCAAUAUAGUUCCCUUUGAAUGGCAUGAAAGAAGAGGAAUAAUGGUUGCUUCCCGUGCUUAAUAAUUGUAUAUAUAUGCUGUACAUAUAAACUGAUCGCUUUAUCUAAUUACAGGGCAGCUACAUUGCAAAGUAUUAAGUAAUAACCUGUUAUCUUUUUCGCUUUUUUUGCUAUAUCACUUAACAAUUGCUGUUGUUGUUAAUUUAGCUUGACACAAGUAUGUGAUUUGCCAUUUCAUUUGGUACAUUGAAGCUUGGGCCUUUUGCCAUUUGUGUUCUCAUCUGUCAUUAUAUUGCAUACAUUUAUGAUCAUUUUUUUCUAUUAUUGUGCAAAUUUUAUAGUGGCAUGCUUUAACCAUGACUAUUGUCUUCAUGCAGACAUGCAGUGAACUUCAAUUGGAUAAUAAUGAUGGUUUUAAUUUUUGACUCAAAAUGCGGAAGAGAUUCAAAAUAGUUUUUUUCCAGUGAAUACAUACAUUAUAGCAAGCAUUAGGGUUUUGACCAUGCACGAGCAAUGUAUAAGAAAGUAGAUGCAGAGGAAUAUUUUAUGAGCAAUUCAAUGUGUUUUGACUGUAACACUAAAAUAUACCGUAUAUAUCUUUAUUCAAUUUUUUUUUUGCAUUUGACAUAUAUGAUCUUGUAUAAAGCUGAAUAAAGUUUUUAGUUGAGUUGAUUCUUGACAAGCUCAAAUCCAUCACGGGGCUGGGGCUCGUCAGCGACGUGUUAAGGGAUCUGGCACACGUCAAUAGCCCCCAUGGCCAGGCCACCAUUGGCCACAUCCGCUACUCCACCUCCGGUGGCGAUGCCCAGCUGUGCAAUGUGGUGCCGUUCCUUGCCGGACACCGGUUCGGGCAGCUCGCCGUGGAGCACAACGACAACCUGGUGAACUACUUGCCUUUGCGCCACAAGCUGGAGGCGCAUGGCUCCAUCUUCAACAACUCAGAGGUCAUCCUCCACCUCAUCACCAGAUCCUCCACAAUAUGGAUGCAUGGGGUUUCAUGGAAGUGUGUGUAUGUCGAAUGCAAGAGAUGGAGGCUUUGAAUAAGAAGAGCACAAUACCUUUCUGUGAAGCCCUUUGAUAUCCUUGCCAGGCAUGCGUUCUUUCACCCACUUCAAAAUUUACGUAGAUAGGGAGCAUCUGUGCGCACUUGUUGGGCCAUUCAUGUGAGCCAUCUCUGUAUGAUCAACCCAUGCUAGCCUCUAUUAACUUAAAUACCUUAUGCAUCUCUCCUUCACAUGGAUUCAGAGUGAAAUAAUGGAUAACACACUAAAUAUUAUAUGCUUUCUACAUCUGAUUGUUCCAUCCUCUUUAUCCAUCAAAAAACAAUGUUCUUCGAUGCUGGUUAAUGUUGGUUGGAAAAAAGAUCACAACAAAGGCACAAGAAACUGCCUGAAACUUAACAUCACCAUGUAUUGACAACUUCUGGACAAAAUUGACUAAUUACUUUUGUACAAUAAUUUAACAAAUUUUAGUGCAUCUGCUGCACAUGUUGUAAGUCGUGCAAUGAUGUUGGUUCACUAUGUCAUAAACUUCAUACCUCGCUGAUAAUGUCUGCGAUUAUUCUCACUAAUAGUGUCGGAAAGAUUCCAGUCAGAAAAAUAAAAUUCUCUAUAGUGAACCCCCUAAUAAAAAUAAAAGGGAACUACUUAUUCAGCACUAAUUAAAUCGGAAGAGUUAUACAUGCUUUUUGUGUUCAUAAUCUUCAGUGUGAACUCUUUUAUUUUUGCUUGAUUUCCAAAUUUAUGCACUUUUCCCAUGAUACAAUAAGAAACAUUUAUAUGCAUCGUAGCCCGUAGCAACGCACGGGCAUUCUACUAGUAACACUUGGUUUUGACUAUUGGUAAGAUUUUAUAUACUCCCUCCGUCUAGUGAAUAAGUCAUCUUAGAUUGUGCACCGUGACCAAGGAAGAGGGAAAAACAGAGGGGAAAACGAGAGAAAUUAAUAUUUAUUU